rnacentral:lncRNA from 1 species
AUUGCUUACCAGUAGGGGUCGGGUAGGGGCUAGUUCGCCCUUGCCCUAAACACCCUCCUCCUCUUCCUCCUCCUUCUUCCCCCUCCCUCCCCCUGGCAGCAACCUCUGGCAGGAAUGCUGCCCUCAGAAUGCUGGUUCCCAGAAGGGAACUGGGUAGCUUUCACACUCCACAAAGACACCCAGUACGCACAGAGUGACCAUGGUGAUGACUCAGACCUCUCUGUUGAGGGGCUGUUUGUGAGCGACAACCUGUAAUUAAUAGGAUGGAAGCUGUUCAACUUCCUGCCAGAGAGCAGAGAUAAGGCCAGUGUCUCACAACUCGUGGGAGAGGGACCGACUUGGUCUCCUCCAGGAAACCCUGUGGAUGCUGCCUCGGAGGACAGCUGUAAUGGACCAGAAAGCUUGCUUCUCUGUCCGACUCCAGCAACAGUGACCUAACUCCUGAGACUCUAGAACAGUGAUUCUCUACCUGUGGGUCUGGAC